CUGCUCAACUUCAGCAGCACAUUUACCAAAGUUGGACUGAGACAGAGAAGAUUAACCUAGCCCCUGCACAGGAUGACAGGCAAAUCCAUACAGCUUUCCACUCCUCA
ensembl:snRNA U6 U6 spliceosomal RNA